UGAGGUAAAAGAAAAAAAAUCUGAGCUU
rnacentral:piRNA from 1 species